rnacentral:rRNA from 1 species
GUCGAGCGGUAACAUUUCUAGCUUGCUAGAAGAUGACGAGCGGCGGACGGGUGAGUAAUACUUAGGAAUCUACCUAGUAGUGGGGGAUAGCUCGGGGAAACUCGAAUUAAUACCGCAUACGACCUACGGGAGAAAGGGGGCAACUUGUUGCUCUCGCUAUUAGAUGAGCCUAAGUCGGAUUAGCUAGAUGGUGGGGUAAAGGCCUACCAUGGCGACGAUCUGUAGCUGGUCUGAGAGGAUGAUCAGCCACACCGGGACUGAGACACGGCCCGGACUCCUACGGGAGGCAGCAGUGGGGAAUAUUGGACAAUGGGGGAAACCCUGAUCCAGCCAUGCCGCGUGUGUGAAGAAGGCCUUUUGGUUGUAAAGCACUUUAAGCAGUGAAGAAGACUCUUCGGUUAAUACCCGUAGACGAUGACAUUAGCUGCAGAAUAAGCACCGGCUAACUCUGUGCCAGCAGCCGCGGUAAUACAGAGGGUGCAAGCGUUAAUCGGAAUUACUGGGCGUAAAGCGAGCGUAGGUGGCUUGAUAAGUCAGAUGUGAAAUCCCCGGGCUUAACCUGGGAACUGCAUCUGAUACUGUCAGGCUAGAGUAGGUGAGAGGAAGGUAGAAUUCCAGGUGUAGCGGUGAAAUGCGUAGAGAUCUGGAGGAAUACCGAUGGCGAAGGCAGCCUUCUGGCAUCAUACUGACACUGAGGCUCGAAAGCGUGGGUAGCAAACAGGAUUAGAUACCCUGGUAGUCCACGCCGUAAACGAUGUCUACUAGUCGUUGGGUCCCUUGAGGACUUAGUGACGCAGCUAACGCAAUAAGUAGACCGCCUGGGGAGUACGGCCGCAAGGUUAAAACUCAAAUGAAUUGACGGGGGCCCGCACAAGCGGUGGAGCAUGUGGUUUAAUUCGAUGCAACGCGAAGAACCUUACCUGGUCUUGACAUAUCUAGAAUCCUGCAGAGAUGCGGGAGUGCCUUCGGGAAUUAGAAUACAGGUGCUGCAUGGCUGUCGUCAGCUCGUGUCGUGAGAUGUUGGGUUAAGUCCCGCAACGAGCGCAACCCUUGUCCUUAGUUACCAGCGGGUUAAGCCGGGAACUCUAAGGAUACUGCCAGUGACAAACUGGAGGAAGGCGGGGACGACGUCAAGUCAUCAUGGCCCUUACGACCAGGGCUACACACGUGCUACAAUGGUAGGUACAGAGGGCAGCUACACAGCGAUGUGAUGCGAAUCUCAAAAAGCCUAUCGUAGUCCAGAUUGGAGUCUGCAACUCGACUCCAUGAAGUAGGAAUCGCUAGUAAUCGCGGAUCAGAAUGCCGCGGUGAAUACGUUCCCGGGCCUUGUACACAC